rnacentral:lncRNA from 1 species
UUCUUGGCCCGGGCCUCUAUCUACCUUAUAUGACCCUCUAAAAAUGAGUAUUUUGUUACUCAAAUGAGGUGACUUAACAAACAACUUACGGCCUAUUUGUAUCAAUCAGAGAGCCUGAAGACUUUAACUAUUACGGAUUAGAAAAGUAGAGAUCACAACCUUUUAUUUGAGGGCUCACACAAACUUCUAGGUAGCCUAGAAGUACAGUUAUGAUAUUUCAAAAUCCUAACUAAAAUUAAAGUAUCAAUUCUGUGAACGCUACUUUUAUAGACUAAGAGCCGCUAUGGGUGAAAUUUGUUAAUUAUUUUAGGCACGAUAAGAGGCCAUAACUUAAACAAUAAAA